rnacentral:rRNA from 1 species
UUCGGAUGAAGUCUUCGGACGCCAGGGGAUCGGCCUGCGGCCCAUUAUUUAAUCCUAGUUGGUAGGGUAACGGCCUACCAAGGGUACGAUGGGUAGCUGGUCUGAGAGGAUGAUCAGCCACACUGGAACUGAGACACGGUCCAGACUCCUACGGGAGGCAGCAGUGGGGAAUAUUGGACAAUGGGCGCAAGCCUGAUCCAGCCACGCCGCGUGGGUGAUGAAGGCCUUCGGGUUGUAAAGCCCUGUCGGAGGGGACGAAGUCUUCGGAUUGACGGUACCUUCCAAGAAAGCACCGGCUAACUCCGUGCCAGCAGCCGCGGUAAUACGGAGGGUGCAAGCGUUGCUCGGAAUUACUGGGCGUAAAGCGUACGCAGGCGGUCUGAUAAGUCGGGUGUGAAAAGCCCCGGGCUCAACCCGGGAACUGCAUUCGAAACUGCCAGACUUGAGUUUGGGAGAGGGAAGUGGAAUUCC